CNUNGCGGCAGGCUUACACAUGCAGUCGAGCGGGGAAAGGUAGCUUGCUACCUAACUUAGCGGCGGACGGGUGAGUAAUGCUUAGGAAUCUGCCUAUUAGUGGGGGACAACAUUUCGAAAGGAAUGCUAAUACCGCAUACGCCCUACGGGGGAAAGCAGGGGAUCUUCGGACCUUGCGCUAAUAGAUGAGCCUAAGUCGGAUUAGCUAGUUGGUGGGGUAAAGGCCUACCAAGGCGACGAUCUGUAGCGGGUCUGAGAGGAUGAUCCGCCACACUGGGACUGAGACACGGCCCAGACUCCUACGGGAGGCAGCAGUGGGGAAUAUUGGACAAUGGGGGGAACCCUGAUCCAGCCAUGCCGCGUGUGUGAAGAAGGCCUUUUGGUUGUAAAGCACUUUAAGCGAGGAGGAGGAGCUCUAGACUAAUACUCUAGAUGCUUGGACGUUACUCGCAGAAUAAGCACCGGCUAACUCUGUGCCAGCAGCCGCGGUAAUACAGAGGGUGCAAGCGUUAAUCGGAUUUACUGGGCGUAAAGCGUGCGUAGGUGGCCAAUUAAGUCAAAUGUGAAAUCCCCGAGCUUAACUUGGGAAUUGCAUUCGAUACUGGUUGGCUAGAGUAUGGGAGAGGAUGGUAGAAUUCCAGGUGUAGCGGUGAAAUGCGUAGAGAUCUGGAGGAAUACCGAUGGCGAAGGCAGCCAUCUGGCCUAAUACUGACACUGAGGUACGAAAGCAUGGGGAGCAAACAGGAUUAGAUACCCUGGUAGUCCAUGCCGUAAACGAUGUCUACUAGCCGUUGGGGUCUUUGAGACUUUAGUGGCGCAGCUAACGCGAUAAGUAGACCGCCUGGGGAGUACGGUCGCAAGACUAAAACUCAAAUGAAUUGACGGGGGCCCGCACAAGCGGUGGAGCAUGUGGUUUAAUUCGAUGCAACGCGAAGAACCUUACCUGGU
rnacentral:rRNA from 1 species